CUUUCGUCCAUGAGUGUCAGUAAUGGCCCAGUCACGCGCUUUCGCCGCUGGUGUUCUUCCCAAUAUCUACGCAUUUCACCGCUACACUGGGAAUUCCCGUGACCCCUACCACCCUCUAGUUCAUCAGUUUCCACCGCCGAUAUGGAGUUAAGCUCCACGCUUUAACAGCAGACUUGACAAACCACCUGCGGACGCUUUACGCCCAAUAAUUCCGGAUAACGCUUGCAUCCCCCGUAUUACCGCGGCUGCUGGCACGGAGUUAGCCGAUGCUGAUUCCUCAGGUACCGUCAGAACUUCUUCCCUGAGAAAAGCGGUUUACAACCCAAAGGCCGUCCUCCCGCACGCGGUAUUGCUCCGUCAGGCUUGCGCCCAUUGCGGAAAAUUCCCCACUGCUGCCUCCCGUAGGAGUCUGGGCCGUGUCUCAGUCCCAGUGUGGCUGAUCAUCCUCUCAGACCAGCUACCGAUCGUCGCCUUGGGGUGCCAUUACCACUCCAACUAGCUAAUCGGACGCGAGCCCUUCCUCAGGCAAUAAAUCUUUCACCUCUCGGCACAUCGGGUAUUAGCAGCCGUUUCCAGCUGUUAUCCCCGUCCUAAGGGUAGGUUC
rnacentral:rRNA from 1 species